AUGGAGAGGCCCUCAGCAGUCUGUCCUCCUUGUUCAAAUGCCAGCCAGACUGAAAAGAGAAAGAGGCUUCCCUUUGGCUUUUGAAUGCAGCCAGUCAGAAAGGCUCCUCUUCUUCAUGUGGGAGCAUGGGGAAAGGAGUCAGCAGACUGCUGAGGAAAAGCACACAGGUGAAGAAUAACCUAAGAGCUGCCUGGAAGUGUGUGAAGUGAGCCAGCGCCCCAUGCCUCUGCAUGGAGUCCAAAGAGGGCAGGAUGGUCCAGGUAUGCUGGGAGCAGUCUGGAGCAUGGCAGGUCAUAUUUGAGCUGAUGUCCUACUUGCAUGCACCCUUAUCUUGAGGGCCAACCUGGACCUGAACUCUUCAGGGUCAGUGAUGGAACUAGGGCCAUGGAAAGAGAAUUGGCCCAGAGGUAGGGAUAUGGCUAUGGCGGCCUCAAUUCCCCACCCACUUCUACCCCAUUCUUGCAUUUUCUUUCACUGAGCUGUACCCAGGACUGCUGCCUCUUGGUCCCCUUCUCCAGU
rnacentral:lncRNA from 1 species